rnacentral:rRNA from 1 species
UACGGAGGGUGCAAACGUUGCUCGGAAUCAUUGGGCGUAAAGCGCACGUAGGCGGCCUGUUAAGUCGGGUGUGAAAUCCCUGGGCUCAACCCAGGAAGUGCACUCGAAACUGGCAGGCUUGAGUACUGAAGAGGGGUCGCGGAAUUCCCGGUGUAGAGGUGAAAUUCGUAGAUAUCGGGAGGAACACCAGUGGCGAAGGCGGCGACCUGGGCAGAUACUGACGCUGAGGUGCGAAAGCGUGGGGAGCAAACAGG